GUGCUCUGUUGUUAAUACCUAGGGGACUGGUAGCUCAGUGCCUGUACAUCUUUUAAAGCAGGGCUCUGAAUGAGAGAGGCCAAGGCGUUUGUAGCUGUUGGGGUGUGGUGCCACUGCUUUGGCUGCAGUGCUCAUUGUUCUAUCUGCUUUCAGUUACCUCUUCUCAGGCAUUUCUUAAGCCUGGUGGUUUUACACAGUUAAAGGAGUGUCCUGUACAAACAAAGGUAGAUUUCAAUGUUUGUUUUGAAACAGUUGACAAUAAACCACAAAAACUAUUUCCAAACAGGACUCUCAGAUGCAAAGGAUAAUCCUCUACUUCUUAUUUUAGCACCUGUUAAAAGCUGGGACUUCUGGGAUGUUCUUGACAUCAGCCUGCAAAAUGGCCACAGCUUGGAGGGACACCUGACCUUUUGCCAUCAGCUGGGGAACUUCUUAUCAUUUAAAUAAUGAAAACAGCAGCCAUUCUUCUUCAACUCCUGUCAGCCUGAAAGCUAUUCGUGUUAAACCAGUGCAGCACCAACGGGGAGCUUUAGCUAAGACACUGCUGACAGCACUGAAAAUAGUGGAAGUCCUGUGACCACCAUCACACCCUCUGUCACCUGCAAGAAAUGAAAAAUUUAAGAAGGCUUUUCCAUUUAAACAGAUGCUCAUGAAUGUCACUGUUGCACAUUUGUGGUUUUAAAUUAGAGGUUGUAAACAGUCACAGAAUAAAGUUGCAUGUUUUA